rnacentral:rRNA from 1 species
UCAGGAUGAACGCUGGCGGUAUGCUUAACACAUGCAAGUCGAACGGUCUUUUCGGAGAUAGUGGCGGACGGGUGAGUAACGCGUAAGAAUCUACCUUCAGGUUGGGGACAACCACUGGAAACGGUGGCUAAUACCGAAUGUGCCGAGAGGUGAAAGGCUUGCUGCCUGAAGAAGAGCUUGCGUCUGAUUAGCUAGUUGGUGUGGUAAAGGCGCACCAAGGCGACGAUCAGUAGCUGGUCUGAGAGGAUGAUCAGCCACACUGGGACUGAGACACGGCCCAGACUCCUACGGGAGGCAGCAGUGGGGAAUUUUCCGCAAUGGGCGAAAGCCUGACGGAGCAAUACCGCGUGAGGGAGGAAGGCUCUUGGGUUGUAAACCUCUUUUCUCAGGGAAGAAAAAAAUGACGGUACCUGAGGAAUAAGCAUCGGCUAACUCCGUGCCAGCAGCCGCGGUAAUACGGAGGAUGCAAGCGUUAUCCGGAAUGAUUGGGCGUAAAGGGUCCGCAGGUGGCAUUGUAAGUCUGCUGUUAAAGAGUUUGGCUCAACCAAAUAAAAGCAGUGGAAACUACAAAGCUAGAGUAUGGUCGGGGCAGAGGGAAUUCCUGGUGUAGCGGUGAAAUGCGUAGAUAUCAGGAAGAACAUCGGUGGCGAAGGCGCUCUGCUAGGCCAAAACUGACACUGAGGGACGAAAGCUAGGGGAGCGAAUGGGAUUAGAUACCCCAGUAGUCCUAGCCGUAAACGAUGGAUACUAGGCGUAGCUCGUAUCGACCCGAGCUGUGCCGUAGCUAACGCGUUAAGUAUCCCGCCUGGGGAGUACGCAGGCAACUGUGAA